CAGCAGAAGGAGGCACAUGGCCUAAUGGUUAGAGAAGCGGGCUCGCGGUCGAGCGAUCGCGCGUUCGAAUCUCAACCCGAGCGAUGUGUGUGUGUUUAUGAGCGAAACACCUAAGCUCCACGCGGCUCCUGCAGAAGAAGACCCCCAAAUGGC